GACGAACGCUGGCGGCGUGCUUAACACAUGCAAGUCGAACGGAAAGGCCCUGCUUUUGUGGGGUGCUCGAGUGGCGAACGGGUGAGUAACACGUGAGUAACCUGCCCUUGACUUUGGGAUGACUUCAGGCAACUGGGGCUAAUACCGGAUAGGAGCUCCUGCUGCAUGGUGGGGGUUGGAAAGUUUCGGCGGUUGGGGAUGGACUCGCGGCUUAUCAGCUUGUUGGUGGGGUAGUGGCUUACCAAGGCUUUGACGGGUAGCCGGCCUGAGAGGGUGACCGGCCACAUUGGGACUGAGAUACGGCCCAGACUCCUACGGGAGGCAGCAGUGGGGAAGAUUGCACAAUGGGCGGAAGCCUGAUGCAGCAACGCCGCGUGCGGGAUGACGGCCUUCGGGUUGUAAACCGCUUUCGCCUGUGACGAAGCGUGAGUGACGGUAAUGGGUAAAGAAGCACCGGCUAACUACGUG
rnacentral:rRNA from 1 species